GGGCCGUUGGCGCAGUUGGUAGCGCGCUUGCAUGACGCGCAAGAGGUCAGAGGUUCGAAUCCUCUACGGCCCA
rnacentral:tRNA from 1 species